GAUGAACGCUGGCGGCGUGCCUAAUACAUGCAAGUCGAGCGAACAGACGAGGAGCUUGCUCCUCUGACGUUAGCGGCGGACGGGUGAGUCACACGUGGAUAACCCACCUAUAAGACUUGGAUAACUUCGGGAAACCGGAGCUAAUACCGGAUAAUAUAUUGAACCGCAUGGUUCAAUAGUGAAAGACGGUUUUGCUGUCCCUUCUAGCUGUAUCCGCGCCGCAUUGGCUAGUUGGUAAGGUAACGGCUUACCAUGGCGACAAUGCGUAGCCGACCUGAGAGGGGGAUCGGGCACACGGGAGCGGAGGGCCGCACCGGGCCCCUACGGGAGGCAGCAGUACGGAGGGUGGCAGAAGGGGCGAAAGCCGGACGAAGCGACGAAGCGUGAGGGAUGAAGGUCGUCGGGUCGUAAAACGCUGUUAUGAUGGAAGAACAAAUGUGUAAGUAACUAUGCUUUUGUGGACGGAACCUAAUCAGAAGACCCCGGUUAAUUACGU
rnacentral:rRNA from 1 species